rnacentral:rRNA from 1 species
CCCUUAGAUGUUCUGGGCCGCACGCGCGCUACACUGAUGCAUUCAACGAGUUUCUUCCUGGUCCGAGAGGAAUGGGUAACCUUUUGAAAGUGCAUCGUGAUAGGGAUAGACUAUUGCAAUUAUUGGUCUUCAACGAGGAAUUCCUAGUAGACGUAGUUCAUCAGACUGCAUCGAUUACCUCCCUGCCCUUUGUACACACCGCCCGUCGCUCCUACCGAUUGAAUGCUCAGGUGAGCCAUUCGGACUUUCAUCAUGCUGGUUUCCAGUUUUGAUGAAGGAAAGUCUUGCGAACCUUAUCAUUUAGAGGAAGGAGAAGUCGUAACA